CGGGGCGUAAACGAGCGGCUCAGUUACCUGGCUUUGAACCAGGGUAUCGCAGGUUCGAAUCCUGCCGCCCCUGCCA
rnacentral:tRNA from 1 species